CCCACAACGCAGAGGUGUGGCGUUGCAGAAGAGGCCCCAUGUCAUUUGAUGUGGCAUGCCCCCAAUCUCUUAUGGUAACAGUGGCUCAAAAACAAAAACAAAACAUAACUGCUUAAUGAUGUUGCAGGCUCUAAGGGUCUCUGCAAAGACUGGUCCCCCUCAUAAGUGACUUGUAGCCUCUGGGUUUCACCGCCAGCCUGCCAGGAGCUGUGCCUGGCCCAAAGCCCUGCCACCGGUAAGCUGGCUUACAAACCACUCGGGCGUGAAGGUUACGUAAAAGCAAGCCGCCCAGCUCCCCCACAGGCAGGCGGAUGGACAAACAGCACGGCUGGGACCCUGCUCAGCCAUGGAGGAACAACACACACAGCUGGGGAGUCCCUAAAACCGAAUGGCUGUGCAAGACGUGAGAGGAAAGCGCAGGCCCUGCGGACGCCGUCAUGCAAAGCUCAGGAAGUCACAAGUCAACCUGCAGUGACAGACCGCAGAUGGAGUCUUGCUCUGUCACCAGGCUGGAGUGCAAUGGCGCGAUCUCGGCUCACCGCAACCUCGGCCUCCUGGGUUCAGGUAAUUCUUUCACCUCAGCCUCCCAAGUAGCUGGGAUUACAGGCACGCACCAUCAUGCCCAGCUAAUUUUUUGUAUUUUUAGGAGAGACGGGGUUUCACCAUGUUGGCCAGGAUGGUCUCGAUCUCUUGACCUCGUGAUCUGCCUGCCUCAGUCUCCCAAAGUGCUGGGAUUACAGGUGUCAGCCACCGCGACUGGCUCUCUUAUUUAUUUUUUGAGAUGGAGUCUCCUUCUAUUGCCCAGGCUGGAGUGCAGUGGUGAAAUCUCGGUUCACUGCAACCUCUGCCUGCUGGCUUUUCAAGUGGCUGAUGCUUAUUCUCCUGGCUAGUUUUUGUAUUUCUGGUAGAGAUGGGGUUUCACCAUAUUGGCCAGGCUGGUCUUGAACUCCUGACCUCGUGAUACGCCCGCCUCAGCCUCCCAAAGUGCUGAGAUUACAGGCAUGAGCCACUGCACCCGGCCUUGGGACCUCAACCUUCAACGGAGCAAAGGAAAACAUGUCGGAGAGGCAGCGCCCCAGCAGCGCCCCAGCUCUUCUGUGGUGACCUUCAUACACCAACAGCUCAUUCUUCCACCCUGAUAAUAAACGGGAACCUGGGGAAAGGGACCUAUCCGAACAUCCCGGCCCCUCACCCAACAGCCAUCCUGCACAGGAUAAGGCUCUAACAAGCUCCUUUCUGCAUGCCAUGGAUCUUCCUGCUGAGGCCUGGGGAUGUGUCCCGUGUCUGGUCCCCAGAGCUGCAAAGUGACUGACCUGUGCAAUGAUCAAAGUCACAAAGAGCAGAGAAUGAGGGGCACCCCAGAACACAGGAGAUGGGGACACAGACACCCCUGAGACCCUCGCCCAGCCAGAGAGAACAGCCUGGGAAGAUGCCUGCCCUUGGGAAGCUGGGGGCGGGGAGUGUUAAUUCUGUAACCUUUCUUACAUUGUUUCAAAACGGUUUUCAAAAACUGAAAAACGAAACAAACAGAUACUACAUUUCAUCUGGAAAUCUUAGUUCUGGAAGAACUGAAUUCUCUCAGCUCUGACCCUGUGUGACUGCUGCCAGCCUGGUCUGGGGGCUGCCGCAGCCAAGCAGCAGAAGGGCAGGCUGUGACCAGCGGCCUCCAGGCCACCUCGGCCUCUGCCCUGUGUUCCCUCUGGCUGGCAAGCACCUCCUUCUCCACAGCUCCUACUCUAUUUGCUCCACUUUUUAGGGAGACUGCUGUACUCCUGGUGACCAGUGCAGCUGCAGCAGGCUGGCUUUCAGUGGCAUCUGGGACAGAAAGUCCUCGUCACCCCACCUUGACAGCUUCAUUAAAAAAACUUGUUGAAAAACUGUUCUUCACAUAACGUGGCAGGGGAAGAAAUCACAUACCCUGGCCAAGCAGUGGUGAAUUUGCUGUUUGUCAUAUGAAAAACAAAAAUAAAAAUUCUUCAUUCAGU